rnacentral:rRNA from 1 species
GAUGAACGCUGGCGGCGUGCCUAACACAUGCAAGUCGAGCGAUUCUCUUCGGAGAAGAGCGGCGGACGGGUGAGUAACGCGUGGGUAACUUGCCCUGUACACACGGAUAACAUACCGAAAGGUAUGCUAAUACGAGAUAAUAUGCUUUUGUCGCAUGGUAGAAGUAUCAAGGCUCCGGCGGUACAGGAUGGACCCGCGUCUGGUUAGCUAGUUGUUAAGGUAACGGCUUACCAAGGCGACGAUCAGUAGCCGACCUGAGAGGGUGAUCGGCCACAUUGGAACUGAGGAACGGUCCAAACUCCUACGGGAGGCAGCAGUGGGGAAUAUUGCACAAUGGGCGAAAGCCUGAUGCAGCAACGCCGCGUGAGCGAUGAAGGCCUUCGGGUCGUAAAGCUCUGUCCUCAAGGAAGAUAAUGACGGUACUUGAGGAGGAAGCCCCGGCUAACUACGUGCCAGCCGCCGCCGUAA